CAUGGAGCUGGAUAUACAGGAGGCUCCCAUUGAAAACUCCAUGCGUGGAGUGAGGAUUGGCCCUGGGCCCUGGGCGCCUCUCAGACAAAGCUCCGAGUAGCUGAUGGCGGCUGACUUUGAGGAGCCCUGUAUGGCACAGAACUGGUCUGGCCUUAUGCCCAGUAUCAGCAGGAGCCUUCCCAAGCUGGAAGUGGAAGGAGGGCGCCGCGUGGACCUUUGGAGCAGCCAGCCUCCUGGCUUGUGUGCAAGCAUCUGCCCCUUGCUGGAUGAUCACAGACAAACCAGGGAAACUGCCUGCACCUCAGAGUCCUCACCUAUCAAACGGGGAUGUGAUAGUACCUAGGGUGCUAAGGAGCAGGAAUCAGCUCUUCUGCAGUUUUCCUGGUUUGGCAUCAGAAGUCAAACAUCGCAGGAAGCCUCUCAGUCUCAGGCAAACCAGCACAGUUGGUGUAGGGUCCCACUGGCCAUGCCCAAGGGCGAGGUUCUCCUUGAUGUUGUCAGGGCAAAAAUAUCCUGAAUUCACACUCCUCAGCCUCCCACGAAGAGCCAAUCUGACUGUGAUCCCUGUAUUUUCAGGAUGAAAAUAAAAAGAAGACUCACUCCGUAGAUGAAAUGAAGAAUGAAAUUGGUGCCUGGUAGGAAAGUGACGCUGGGAAUGAAACUGGGGGACUCAUCAACAGAGAGUCAAGCAAUAAACAUUCCCAACAUCCCUCCUCCCCAUAUGCCAGAAACUGAGCAAGAAGGCCUCGACACAGGAACAAAUAGGACAGCUUUAGAGGCUUCCAGUCUAGCAGGCAGAGAAACCAUUACACCAGCAGUUAGGCUGAGAGGUGAUCUAUACUUUGAUAAAGGGAGUCUGUGUGUCAUGGGCCUGAUGACAGAGGCACCAAAAUAGUCUAAGAGGGUUUAAGAUGCAACCUACUCUUGAUAAGCUGCGUGAUCUCCAACAAGUUUAGCCAUCCUGAACUCUUAGUUGUCAGACAGUAAUUGCUGAGCACCUGUACUCUAGUCAAUAAAGGGAAUGUACAUUCUAGCACAGAAUGCAGAUGUCACAUUAUUACAAAUGAUCAGGAUACAGGAUAGUCUAAGGGGGGAUUCUGGGAAAGCUUUCUCAAUGAUUGAAAUUUAAGCCAGGGCUACAGGGGUAAGCGGGAGUUAACUUGGUGAAGAAGGGUUAGAGGGCCCCUAGAUAGAAUGAACAGCAUGUGCAAAGGUCCUUAGGCAAGAAGCUUGUGUGUCCAAGGCACUGAAAGAAGGUCAGUGUGAAGGAAGGGCAGAGUGGAAGGGGGGUCGUAAGGGAGUUUAAGCAACAGGAGCCAGACCACCAAGAGACUUGGAGACAUAGCAAGAAUUGGACUUUAGGAAAUUGUGACUUUAGGAAAAUGUGAAACAGAUGCGGGAUUUUAAGGAGAAGAACAUGAUUGAAAGUAUCUUGAAACCUGUGACUGCUGUGGUGCAAAUAUCUUGGAGAAGACUGAAUUGCACAUAAUGGGGAGCAGAUUCAUUGUCCAGGGGAGAGAUGAUGGUACCUCAAGCAGAUGGGGUGGCCACAGAGAUGGAGGGAAGGCAAAUAUUUAGGAGACAGAAUGAGCAAACAAAGGUAGCUCCCACGUGGGAGGUUGAGUAGAACCUAUAGAGGAAGACUCUCAGAGUCACUGUAAGGGUUGCUGAUAUAGGGGACAUAGGGGGAAGACUUGUUUAAGAAAUAUCCUGAGUUCAGUUUUGAAUCUGGGCUGCCACAGAGGCAGAGGAUCCAUGAAUCUGGAACUUGGAGGGAAUCCAGCCUGGAGGUUCAUAUUCAGGACAAGGAGCCAUAGGUGGGGUAACUGCUAGCCACAAGAGGGCAGGAACAGAGGGGGGAGAUGACAAGGACAUACAACUGAGCCUUGAGCAACUCCAGUGUUCAGAGAUGGGCAGGGUGGAAUGCAGCAGUGAGCUUGCAGCCUGCAGAAAUCCAGAAAGGCUUAACAUCCCUGCAGCUGAAGAAAGAGAGGAGGUAGUCAGUACCACAUGCAGUGGGGAACAACACAGGUCAGGACUUGUGGACUGAGCAUCUUGGAGGUCACCUGUGACCU